UACGGGGGGGGCAAGCGUUGUUCGGAAUUACUGGGCGUAAAGGGCUCGUAGGUGGCCAACUAAGUCAGACGUGAAAUCCCUCAGCUUAACUGGGGAACUGCGUCUGAUACUGGAUGGCUUGAGUUUGGGAGAGGGAUGCGGAAUUCCAGGUGUAGCGGUGAAAUGCGUAGAUAUCUGGAGGAACACCAGUGGCGAAAGCGGCUUCCUGGUCCAGCACCGACGUUCAGGCACGAAAGCGUGGGGAGCAAACAGG
rnacentral:rRNA from 1 species